rnacentral:rRNA from 2 species
GAUGGGAGCUUGCUCCCUGAUGUUAGCGGCGGACGGGUGAGUAACACGUGGGUAACCUGCCUGUAAGACUGGGAUAACUCCGGGAAACCGGGGCUAAUACCGGAUGGUUGUCUGAACCGCAUGGUUCAGACAUAAAAGGUGGCUUCGGCUACCACUUACAGAUGGACCCGCGGCGCAUUAGCUAGUUGGUGAGGUAACGGCUCACCAAGGCGACGAUGCGUAGCCGACCUGAGAGGGUGAUCGGCCACACUGGGACUGAGACACGGCCCAGACUCCUACGGGAGGCAGCAGUAGGGAAUCUUCCGCAAUGGACGAAAGUCUGACGGAGCAACGCCGCGUGAGUGAUGAAGGUUUUCGGAUCGUAAAGCUCUGUUGUUAGGGAAGAACAAGUGCCGUUCAAAUAGGGCGGCACCUUGACGGUACCUAACCAGAAAGCCACGGCUAACUACGUGCCAGCAGCCGCGGUAAUACGUAGGUGGCAAGCGUUGUCCGGAAUUAUUGGGCGUAAAGGGCUCGCAGGCGGUUUCUUAAGUCUGAUGUGAAAGCCCCCGGCUCAACCGGGGAGGGUCAUUGGAAACUGGGGAACUUGAGUGCAGAAGAGGAGAGUGGAAUUCCACGUGUAGCGGUGAAAUGCGUAGAGAUGUGGAGGAACACCAGUGGCGAAGGCGACUCUCUGGUCUGUAACUGACGCUGAGGAGCGAAAGCGUGGGGAGCGAACAGGAUUAGAUACCCUGGUAGUCCACGCCGUAAACGAUGAGUGCUAAGUGUUAAGGGGGUUUCCGCCCCUUAGUGCUGCAGCUAACGCAUUAAGCACUCCGCCCGGGGGAGUACGGUCGCAAGACUGAAACUCAAAGGAAUUGACGGGGGCCCGCACAAGCG